GAGUUUGAUCUUGGCUCAGAUUGAACGCUGGCGGCAUGCCUUACACAUGCAAGUCGAACGGCAGCACGGGAGCUUGCUCCUGGUGGCGAGUGGCGAACGGGUGAGUAAUGCAUCGGAACGUAUCCUGGAGUGGGGGAAUAACGUAGCGAAAGUUACGCUAAUACCGCAUAUUCUGUGAGCAGGAAAGCGGGGGACCUUCGGGCCUCGCGCUCUUGGAGCGGCCGAUGUCGGAUUAGCUAGUUGGUGAGGUAAAGGCUCACCAAGGCGACGAUCCGUAGCAGGUCUGAGAGGAUGAUCUGCCGACACUGGAACUGAGACACGGUCCAGACGUCCUACGGGAGGCAGC
rnacentral:rRNA from 1 species